rnacentral:sRNA from 1 species
UCUUCGCCGAAGAGCAAGGGUGACAAAAGCCAAAUGCGGAUGUAGUGCCGGGCCGACACCCUGAGCGGUGGCGCAAAGACGCCGCUGGAAACGUAGUCUGUAAGCGCUUCUGUAACAGCCAGGGCUGCCUAUGCUUCGAGUAUGAUCAUAUCGUCCUCUUCUCCAAAGGUGGUGAAUCCACUGAAGGCAAUUGUCACAUUCCUCAAACAAGAGUGAACGGAUACAAAUGAGACAAAAGACAAAGUCGACACAACUCAGUUGAAAGGGAGGGAUCGCUCGUGAAUCUGUGUGACGCAAUGCUCUUAUGUUCCACUGAUAACUAUUGUGGGUGCCAUCCCCAAAAUCAUUUAUCACCGGUUGAAGAAUGCCUAUGAACUGUCUUCCUGAUGUAAGAUGCAAAGAUUUG